rnacentral:rRNA from 1 species
AAGUGGAGCAAUCCAUGAGUAAAGUGGCGACCGGGUGAGUAACACGUGACUAACCUACCUUCGAGUGGGGGAUAACCUCGGGAAACCGGGGCUAAUACCGCAUAACAUCUUUGGAGUGGAAAUUCUGGAGAUCAAAGGAGCAAUUCGCUGGAAGAGGGGGUCGCGGCUGAUUAGCUAGUUGGCGGGGUAACGGCCCACCAAGGCUUAGAUCGGUAGCCGGCCUGAGAGGGCGCACGGCCACACUGGAACUGAAACACGGUCCAGACUCCUACGGGAGGCAGCAGUGGGGAAUUUUGCGCAAUGGGGGAAACCCUGACGCAGCGACGCCGCGUGGAGGAUGAAGGUCUUCGGA